CCUACGGGGUGCAGCAGUGAGGAAUAUUGGUCAAUGGCCGGAAGGCUGAACCAGCCAUGCCGCGUGAAGGUCAGUGCCCUAUGGGCGUUAAACUUCUUUUGUGCGGGAGCAAUAAUGGUCACGUGUGGCCAGACGAGAGUACCGUACGAAUAAGCAUCGGCGAACCGCGUGCCAGCAGCCGCGGUAAUGCGGGGGAUGCAAGAGGUAUUCGGGUUUAUUGGGUUUAAAGGGUGCAUAGGCUGGGAGGUGAGUCAGCGGGGAAAUGCCUCCGCUCAACGGGGUGACGUGCCAUUGAUACUGCUGUGCUGGAGUGCGGAUGCCGUGGGAGGAAUGUGUGGUGUAGCGGUGAAAUGCAUAGAUAUCACACAGAACACCGAUUGCGAAGGCAUCUCACGAAUCCACGAUUGACGCUGAUGCACGAAAGCGUGGGUAUCAAACAGGAUUAGAUACCCCGGUAGUC
rnacentral:rRNA from 1 species